rnacentral:lncRNA from 13 species
AAACUUCCUACAUUCAGAUGAAGAGGUUGGACCAGAGCUUUGCAUGCUUGUUACCUAAGGACGGUUCUGAUCAUGCGAGCAAAUCACAGAAGGGUCCCAUGGGAACAGAAAGUUUUGAGGGAGUUUACUGUUUGUGCAAGAUGACUGGUUGGGUAAAGAAGUCCAAAGUUUUUUAUCUGCAGAACAAACAAAGCCUGGGCAAAGGAGAAACCUGUAGAAGCAAUCCUAGGGCAGCCUCUGGGUCAGUUUUCCCUAAUAAGAAGCCAGAGCUCCUCUUUACCCAGACGUCAGACCCAUGGAGACAGCCUGGGAUCCUGGGAUGCCCUCCCGCUCAGAGAUGUCCCCAUUGUCCGAGGAAAAUGGAGGCUGACUAGGAAGAAGCGGUCUGUGGCCGGGGAUGGGUCUACACAUUCUAAUCCAUCUCAGUACUGUCUGCUAUUGAUUUUUCGUGCAGAUCACAUUAAUUUAAAGCCAGUUCUCAAGAAGCACCACCCUGUCCCCGACAUAUCCACCAGUUGGGCCCCUUUCCUGCCAUUAAUCAGUGUCUGCUAAUUAGAGAACAAACUCCUGUUUGUCCAAACCGUUGCCAAGACCCCCACCGCAAGGCAGUUAAAUGAGGAUAAAUGAGUCCAUCUUAUUAAAAAGUGACUUAAAUUUAUCAAAUUCUAUUUAUGUUUCUUUUACAUCCCAAUUUUCUAUAGAGUUAGUGGUUCCAAAUGAUAAGGUCUCAAGCCCAUAGUAAUUUAUCCUUUGAGUAACACAAGCUUGGCGGUAUUUUGGUAAUAUUCAUGACAACAGCAGCAGUGGUGCUAACAAGGACUGAUGUCACCAGAGCACCUUCUAUGUCCAAGCAUGGUGCACCAUACUUCCCAUGCAUUAUCUCAUUUAAUUUUCACAAAAGCUCGCAGAGGUAAAUAUUAUUGUCUUCCUCUGCACAUAAGGAAACGAAUGUUCGGAAAGAUUAAGUCAACUCACUGAGAUGCUGCAGGUGCUCUUUCACAGGCCCCUGCUGCCGUCUCAUUGAACUAUUGACAUCAGAAAAACCUGGGGACCUUGCUAACCUUCAGAUUCCUGGGCCGCAUCUUGGAUGCAGGGAGUCAGACUUCCGGGGAGUGUGGCCCCGGAAUUCGCAUUUUUAAACACAUUCCCCAGGAGACUUGUAGGCACACUAAAGUUGGGGAACUCAUGAUCUCUGGCUUUCAUGAUGUUUUAAAUGCACUACAUAAAUCCAGUAGCAAAAGAGUUUGGCUUUGGGAAGGGAGUGUGUGGUGAACCCUGAAAGCUGAAUGGACUUCCUUCCUGUGGAGGGGCAGUGGGAAAAAUUGGAGGCAGAGAGGUGUGUUGCAGUCCUUGAUGGAGCUUAUGUGAGUUAUUUAAUCUCUCAGUCUCUAGUUUUUCAUCUGUAAACCAGCAAGGAUACUUUUAUUUCCAGGUGGUUGUGAAGUGUGGAAGAGAUGAGAGUAGAAUAAAAUUUUAAAAAA